GGGAGUUUAGCUCAGCUGGUUCAGNNAGAGCAUCUGCCUUACAAGCAGAGGGUCGGCGGUUCGAUCCCGUCAACUCCCA
rnacentral:tRNA from 1 species